rnacentral:rRNA from 1 species
AUUGAACGCUGGCGGCAGGCUUAACACAUGCAAGUCGAGCGGAGCGAGGGUGCUUGCACCUUAGCUUAGCGGCGGACGGGUGAGUAAUGCUUAGGAAUCUGCCUAUUAGUGGGGGACAACAUUCCGAAAGGGAUGCUAAUACCGCAUACGCCCUACGGGGGAAAGCAGGGGAUCUUCGGACCUUGCGCUAAUAGAUGAGCCUAAGUCGGAUUAGCUAGUUGGUUGGGUAAAGGCCUACCAAGGCGACGAUCUGUAGCGGGUCUGGGAGGAUGAUCCGCCACACUGGGACUGAGACACGGCCCAGACUCCGACGGGAGGCAGCAGCGGGGAAUAUUGGACAAUGGGCGGAAGCCUGAUCCAGCCAUGCCGCGUGUGUGAAGAAGGCCUUUUGGUUGUAAAGCACUUUAAGCGAGGAGGAGGCUACUAGUAUUAAUACUACUGGAUAGUGGACGUUACUCGCAGAAUAAGCACCGGCUAACUCUGUGCCAGCCGCCGCCGUAAGAC